CCUACGGGUGGCAGCAGUAGGGAAUCUUCCGCAAUGGACGAAAGUCUGACGGAGCAACGCCGCGUGAGCGAUGAAGGCCUUCGGGUUGUAAAGCACUUUCAGCGGGGAGGAAGGCGUUAAGGUUAAUAACCUUGUCGAUUGACGUUACCCGCAGAAGAAGCACCGGCUAACUCCGUGCCAGCAGCCGCGGUAAUACGGAGGGUGCAAGCGUUAAUCGGAAUUACUGGGCGUAAAGCGCACGCAGGCGGUCUGUCAAGUCGGAUGUGAAAUCCCCGGGCUCAACCUGGGAACUGCAUUCGAAACUGGCAGGCUAGAGUCUUGUAGAGGGGGGUAGAAUUCCAGGUGUAGCGGUGAAAUGCGUAGAGAUCUGGAGGAAUACCGGUGGCGAAGGCGGCCCCCUGGACAAAGACUGACGCUCAGGUGCGAAAGCGUGGGGAGCAAACAGGAUUAGAUACCCGAGUAGUC
rnacentral:rRNA from 1 species